ACUACGGGGUGCUGCAGUGGGGAAUAUUGGACAAUGGGCGAAAGCCUGAUCCAGCCAUGCCGCGUGUGUGAAGAAGGCCUUCGGGUUGUAAAGCACUUUCAGUGGGGAAGAAAGCCUUGGGGCUAAUACCCUCGAGGAAGGACAUCACCCACAGAAGAAGCACCGGCUAACUCCGUGCCAGCAGCCGCGGUAAUACGGAGGGUGCGAGCGUUAAUCGGAAUUACUGGGCGUAAAGCGCGCGUAGGCGGUCUGAUAAGCCGGUUGUGAAAGCCCCGGGCUCAACCUGGGAACGGCAUCCGGAACUGUCAGGCUAGAGUGCAGGAGAGGAAGGUAGAAUUCCCGGUGUAGCGGUGAAAUGCGUAGAGAUCGGGAGGAAUACCAGUGGCGAAGGCGGCCUUCUGGACUGACACUGACGCUGAGGUGCGAAAGCGUGGGUAGCAAACAGGAUUAGAUACCCUUGUAGUC
rnacentral:rRNA from 1 species